rnacentral:rRNA from 1 species
UUCCUACGGGACGCAGCAGUGGGGGAUAUUGCACAAUGGGGGGAACCCUGAUGCAGCGACGCCGCGUGGGUGAAGAAGCGCCUCGGCGCGUAAAGCCCUAUCAGCAGGGAAGAAGAAAUGACGGUACCUGAGUAAGAAGCACCGGCUAAAUACGUGCCAGCAGCCGCGGUAAUACGUAUGGUGCAAGCGUUAUCCGGAUUUACUGGGUGUAAAGGGAGCGCAGGCGGCACGGCAAGCCUGAUGUGAAAGCCCGCGGCCCAACCGCGGGACUGCAUUGGGAACUACCGGGCUGGAGUGCCGGAGAG